AGCGAACGCUGGCGGCAGGCCUAACACAUGCAAGUCGAACGAACCUUUCGGGGUUAGUGGCGGACGGGUGAGUAACACGUGGGAACGUGCCUUUAGGUUCGGAAUAACUCAGGGAAACUUGUGCUAAUACCGAAUGUGCCCUUCGGGGGAAAGAUUAAUCGCCUUUAGAGCGGCCCGCGUCUGAUUAGCUAGUUGGUUGAGGUAAUGGCUCACCAAGGCGACGAUCAGUAGCUGGUCUGAGAGGAUGAUCAGCCACAUUGGGUCUGAGACACGGCCCAAACUCCUACGGGAAGCAGCAGUGGGGAAUCUUGCGCAAUGGGCGAAAGCCUGACGCAGCCAUGCCGCGUGAAUGAUGAAGGUCUUAGGAUUGUAAAAUUCUUUCACCGGGGACGAUAAUGACGGUACCCGGAGAAGAAGCCCCGGCUAACUUCGUG
rnacentral:rRNA from 1 species